rnacentral:tRNA from 1 species
GCGGACAUGGCGAAAUUGGUAGACGCACUGGAUUUAGGUUCCAGCGCCGCAAGGCGUGAGAGUUCGAGUCUCUCUGUCUGCACCA